AGGGGUCAAUACCUGUUGCUCCAGAUUUCACGCCCCCUUCCUUUGCAGUCACGCCCUUUGAUUACCAGCCCCAUGGCUUCAAGGAAGGCGAAAGCUCAGAUGGUCUUCUUUUUGAUGGUGACCCUGUGAACCUCAAAGUAGGAUCUGUUUCCACUGGAUUCCAUGUGUUGAAAGUGAAGGUCACAACAGACAGCAAAAGGAUGGGGAUGCUGGAGAACAGUCUAGUGGAAGAGAAUGGUCCCACUGAAAUCUCCCACCAAGGUUUAGACUGUGAUGAUGAUGAUGAAGAAGAGGACAGCAAUAAAAGGAAGUUUAUGGCUGCUUGCGUGGAUAAAAAUAGGAUGUUUGAAGAAAAUGCAAUGUCACAGCACAUGCCCCCUUUGAAUCCAGAUAGAACAGAAACAAUCAGAAAGGAUGGAGCUGAAGAGACAGAGACAGAGAAAGAAUGCGGUACUAAGACACCUCACAAAGUCCAAGAAAAACGUCCUUCUAAACUCUCAUUGGAAACCAGAAUGACAUGGCAAAUGGACUUUGCUUCCAGCCAAGAAAACACGAGUGCACCAAAGAAGAAGAAAAAGAAAGUCAGCACAACACUUGAUUUGAUUCUUGCCCCUCAAAAGUUAUGACAGCCUCAGAAGCAAUAGCUAUAGCUGUAAUGCACCUGAACAGUAGUAUCUGAUCUGUUACCUACUUUGGGUAAAUUUCUACAGACAGCAUAUAUUUGGGACAAUGGCAACUUUGAGCCCAGUUGGAAUAGGGAAAAAAUGGGGCCCUAUUAGCUCAGCUGCCUUGAAGCUAUAUAAACAUUUUGCCAUUUGUGAAGGCAUCUUUCAUUCUUGUCUUUGAUAAAAAUUUAUGUCAAUGUAAUGAGAUUGUAUCACCCUGUCAGUUAACAGUUUAUACUAUAUAAAUACAGUUUAUAAUAUAUAAAUACUAAAUACAGCUAAACUAUAGGACGGUACCUUUGUAUCAUUGUGCUUCCCUGGGCACAAAAUUUCCAGAGAUGUUUGUUGUGGAUUAUUUUACAUGGAGGAGAAUACAUUGGAGAUGUGUUUGUGUUCUGUGUGUUCUCCCGUUUUCUCUUUAUUUUUUAAUAAAUACAGAAGAACCACA
rnacentral:lncRNA from 1 species